rnacentral:tRNA from 3 species
UUAGCUCAGCUGGAUAGAGCAACGGCCUUCUAAGCCGUAGGUCACAGGUUCGAAUCCUGUA